CAACAGGGAUUGCCCUAGUAACGGCGAGUGAAGCGGCAACAGCUCAAAUUUGAAAUCUGGCUCUCGGGCCCGAGUUGUAAUUUGUAGAGGAUGCUUUUGGUGCGGUGCCUUCCGAGUUCCCUGGAACGGGACGCCAUAGAGGGUGAGAGCCCCGUCUGGUUGGACGCCAAUCCUCUGUAAAGCUCCUUCGACGAGUCGAGUAGUUUGGGAAUGCUGCUCUAAAUGGGAGGUAUAUGUCUUCUAAAGCUAAAUACCGGCCAGAGACCGAUAGCGCACAAGUAGAGUGAUCGAAAGAUGAAAAGAACUUUGAAAAGAGAGUUAAAAAGUACGUGAAAUUGUUGAAAGGGAAGCGCUUGUGACCAGACUUGGGCUUGGUUGAUCAUCCAGGGUUCUCCCUGGUGCACUCUUCCGGCCUAGGCCAGCAUCAGUUCGCCCCGGGGGACAAAGGCGCCGGGAAUGUGGCUCCUCUCGGGGAGUGUUAUAGCCCGGCGUGCAAUACCCUGUGGCGGACUGAGGUUCGCGCAUUCGCAAGGAU
rnacentral:rRNA from 1 species